rnacentral:lncRNA from 1 species
AUAGGAGAUGACAGCUCCAUGUGUGGCAUUGCCCCCGAAGACCUUCCAGUGGGACAAGAUGUGGAGGUGGGAGACAGUGAUCUUGAUGAUCCUGACCCUGUGCAGGCCUGGGCUGAUGUACUAGGAAUGGUGCAAAGAUGCUGAGGAAAUUGGAGUCAUUUGGAAACUUCUGUUCUAAGGGGAAGGUUCUAUAUGUCAGAAGAUGCCAAAAGGUCUCAAGAAGAUUACAUGGUACCUCUAGAGGUGUUCGAUGUGUUGACAAAUUCACACCUCCUAUAUUCCCUGAUUCUAUUAAGCGUUUUCCACAAGAUGGUUGGCCAGAAUUGGGCAUUUUUCAACAUUGCGGGGAUCAUAUAUAGCUGAUGCUGCUGGAAGUUGUAUCGUGAGUGGGCAGAAUGGCAAGAAUGGAUGUGAUCCCGACCAAAGGAACACAAAAGGACAUCGCUGGGCUUCCAGCAGUGAGAUGUCCUGCCCAGACAGAUGACCUACUUUAAAGGUUUAUUUUCCGCAUUGCAGAAGCCAUUAAACGAGUCUAUGCAAGCAAUUAAAGAGCAUUGCGUGGGAUCUGCUGAAAGCACGAAUAUAUUCAGUUGUCCUGGUUUUAAAUCAAUAAACUAACAUGGAUUUGGAAUUAACACCCACAUGGUGGACAAGCUCACCUUGCUUAAAAAACAAGCUAUUUCUAUUAGCUCUGAUCUCAAAACUAAUGAAAGUCAACAGUGAUUUUUAUCUUGAUCCUAGAAUCCUUAGGGCAGCUGGACGGCAGAGCCACUGAGAGCAUUGCAAGAAAAGCCAACGGGGUGCCAGGCCAGUCAUCGCUGAUGGGGGAACGUGUCAAGGAUUAGGAAGGUCUUAUGCAAACUGCGGAGAGACAACAGGGAGGCACCUGCCUUGAGAAAAGCCCCGCUCCUUUGUCCCUGGUUGCUUCAUAUGACCAGUAUCUGCCUGCCCCGAACACCUGCCCGUCCAAAUACAAUACUUAGAAUGACCUUUGUUUAUUCGCUCCUAUAGUCAUUAUUCUCUUCACCUAAAAGGACAGGACACAAUGAACUUAUUACUCAGCUUGGCUGUUCACAGUCACUAAUCCUAGCGAUGAUGUCAACCUGCCCCAUCUUUGAUCAAAGAGUACACAACAAAAUCUGCCAGGAAGAUUUUUAGGCCUGACUCAUUGAGAAAUGAAAAUAAUUAUAAAAGUAAUAUGUAAAAUUUAAAGUACAUGAAUUCCACCCUGAUAUAUAUAUAUAUAUAUAUAUAUAUAUACUUAGCUAGCAGGAUGCUGUAGGGCAACUUCUUGCUUCCCUUUAGGACCUAGACUCAGUCCCUCAACUUUUGACGGCUGCAGAUGGUUCACAGCUGAGUCCCUGUCUGAGCGUUGCACUGGGUAAGAGAGCGUCUGCUCCCGCGAGCUUAUGCCUCCUCCCCAGGAGCAGCCCACACCCAGAGACUGGUUAAUGCAGGGGUAUGAAGACUUAGCCCCCUGGUCUUGAUAUAGGACAACUUCUGAAAGGCCGUCUCAGCUCCAGAAAUUUUCGUAGGACCGGCUGAGCUCUCUGCUGCAACUGCUCUGCGCUCAACUUCUCUCGGCCCAAUUCUGUUUCCUUUCCUUCCUACAAGGAUUGUUCCCAAGAGCACCCCCUGUAAACUUCCUGCGUGCAAUUCUCCACCUCAAACUCUUUUCCAGGAGAACGGAGCUAAGAGAGCACCCGCCCAAAAGGAGAAAAGGUUUUCAUUGAGGAGAAGUUCACUGAGAUAAUUUUCUUACUACUCCUGUUAUUUGUAUAGUAAACCCUACUGAUCAGAAAACUGAGACACCACGUAUGAAAAGACUUCAUACCACAGAAUUGAUGCAAUCUCCUGUUUUUCUUGAAACAUAUGGUUUUCUCAGUCUCUCUCUCAUUGUCCCAGUUUUACUAAAGGUACAGUGUAUCAGGUUUAACUGCUUUUAACAGAAAACUCAAAUAUGACUCUUAAAGAAGAUAAAGUUUGAUUUUUCUCUCUAGUAGAAGUCUACUGAAGACAGUCCAGAGCUGGGAUGGUAGCUCCAUGGUUGUCAGAGACUUAAGUUUGUUAUAUUUUUUCUUCACCCUGUUGAGCCCUUGACCUCCAUCCUCACAACAGCUCAGGAUCCAAAUAGGUGCUGAAGCUCCUGCCAGCAUGUCUGCAGGCAGAAAAAGGAAGAAUGGAAGGGCCAAAAAAAAAAAGUGAUUUCUUUGUAGUUGUCAGCCAUCUUUAAAUAAUAGUUUCAGGGGUCUUGCCCAUAAACUUCCACCUAUAUCUCAUUGGUGACUACUAUUUGCAAGGGUGGAGGGUAAACAUAAUUUUUAGUUGGGUCCAUGCCAACCCUGAUAAAAUAGACAUCAAUUACUGAGGACAAGAGGGGAGAAUGCAAGAGUAGGCAACUGGUAAGCUCCGCCUUACCUAGGUUAAAAGAAAAGUCUCUACUUGAAGAAAUCUAUAUAGGGCAAGAAUGAUAAGCAGCGUCUGACCCUUGGGCUCCAUGUGGGGAGGUAACUGGAAGUGGUGGGAGCUGUGAUGAGCAGGAGCACUCAUCCACCAGGUACAGCUGGAGCCACCCCUGCCAUGUGGGAAUGGAGUCCAGUUGGGUCUGAUCUUCCAAUUUUCCAAGAGAAGCUGGCAAACCAGAUUUUUAUGUGAAUUUUCCCUUUUUUAAAAUCAACAUCCACAUUUUUAUAAAAUUCUGUGUCUGAAUUUUGUAAUCUGUAUCUAACCUCCAGUUUGCAAUCUCUGAUCAAGAAGAGCCAAUUUUCCUUGGGGCAAAACUUCAGGAAAUUUGUGCCACACAGUAAGACGUGGACUCUAUUGCUUUGCAAUCCAAGGUGAGGGGAAAAGAACUUGAAAUGAAGGUACAGGUGGCCAGAUGCAUGGACCAGGGCAAAUACUUACACCCUGUGGGCAGGCAGCCCACCAGCCACCUGGCCCUCAACUUCCCUCUUCAGUCAGAAGGAACUGGCUCAGAAGCCGGGUGUACAGAAUUUUUACAAGCACAAUUCUGGAUAAUUAACCCCUCCUUGCUCUAUAUAAAUGCCUGUGGCACAAACCUCAUCAAAUUCCUUCUACACAUUUGUCCGUUCCUUGCAGCUUUCUCUUUUGACCAGCAGAUGGCAGCAAAUAUUGACCAGUCUUGGGCACUAAUUUACACCUUCAGAGUUGAUGUUCUUUUUGAUGCAUUUUUUUAAUUAUGUCAAUAAAAACAAGGAAAAUCAUCUA